UACACAUAUAUAUGUAGUAUUUAGCGUACGUACCGUUAAGAAAUAAAGAAACUGCACACGGACUCGUAAAAAGGCCUGUAACAAGCAAAUAAUAAUGUUUAUAUUCCAAGAAGUGAAAAGGAAAGAGGCAUUUACAACGCACGUCUCCAUGGAUGGCGUUAUUUGCACUACCCACUGUUAAAAAAUUAGACCCAUAAUUCACACACUCCCACGGGCCACAAUUUUAACGAUCAUUAAAAUUACUUAAAAAAGUUAGCCGAAAAUGAAUGAAAAAAAAUUACGUCAUUGCCAAGGCAUCCUUUAUUUGCGACAGAGAUGACAUCAUUCCUUUAAUCACAUAGGUAUCCUCAUACAUAAAAAUCAAAGGGCGUCAAAUCAGGUGAGCGGGCAGGCCACGCAAUAGGACCUCGAUUUCCUAUCCAAUUAUUUUUAUAUUGUUCAUUUAUAUGGACGCCAUAUUGGAUUUAUACGUCAUUAAAUAGAACGUUUCAACCAUG
rnacentral:lncRNA from 1 species